UGGCGGACGGGUGAGUAAUGUCUGGGAAACUGCCUGAUGGAGGGGGAUAACUACUGGAAACGGUAGCUAAUACCGCAUAACGUCGCAAGACCAAAGAGGGGGACCUUAGGGCCUCUUGCCUUCGGAUGUGCCCAGAUGGGAUUAGCUAGUAGGUGGGGUAACGGCUCACCUAGGCGACGAUCCCUAGCUGGUCUGAGAGGAUGACCAGCCACACUGGAACUGAGACACGGUCCAG
rnacentral:rRNA from 1 species